rnacentral:tRNA from 1 species
GCACUGGUGGUUCAGUGGUAGAAUUCUCGCUUUCCAUUCGGGGGACCUGGGUUCAAUUCCCGGGCAACGUA